rnacentral:rRNA from 1 species
UGGGGAAUUUUGGACAAUGGGGGAAACCCUGAUCCAGCCAUGCCGCGUGAGUGAAGAAGGCCUUCGGGUUGUAAAGCUCUUUCGCAAGGGAAGAAAGCUUAGAUCUUAAUACGGUCUGAGGAUGACGGUACCUUGAUAAGAAGCACCGGCUAACUACGUGCCAGCAGCCGCGGUAAUACGUAGGGUGCGAGCGUUAAUCGGAAUUACUGGGCGUAAAGCGUGCGCAGGCGGUUUCGUAAGUCAGAUGUGAAAGCCCCGGGCUCAACCUGGGAACUGCGUUUGAAACUGCGAGGCUAGAGUGUGUCAGAGGGGGGUAGAAUUCCACGUGUAGCAGUGAAAUGCGUAGAGAUGUGGAGGAACACCGAUGGCGAAGGCAGCCCCCUGGGAUAACACUGACGCUCAUGCACGAAAGCGUGGGGAGCAAACA